UACGAAGGGGGCUAGCGUUGCUCGGAAUCACUGGGCGUAAAGGGUGCGUAGGCGGGUCUUUAAGUCAGGGGUGAAAUCCUGGAGCUCAACUCCAGAACUGCCUUCGAUACUGGGAAUCUUGAGUCCGGAAGAGGUGAGUGGAACUGCGAGUGUAGAGGUGAAAUUCGUAGAUAUUCGCAAGAACACCAGUGGCGAAGGCGGCUCACUGGUCCGGUACUGACGCUGAGGUGCGAAAGCGUGGGGAGCAAACAGG
rnacentral:rRNA from 1 species